rnacentral:tRNA from 1 species
GCCGGGAUAGCUCAGUUC